GGGGUGCGCGGGGCUCGGGGGCCGUGCGUUGCCACCUGCAGCGCCUGGGGCCGGCGGGACGCGCUCGGCCCUGUCGGGGGCUCACGUGGGGGGGGAUCCUUGCAGGUGGGAGUCGAGAGCAUUUCCUAGCGCCCGAGCCAUGGUGGCCAAACAGCGCAUCCGGAUGGCUAACGAGAAGCACAGCAAAAACAUCACCCAGAGGGGGAAUGUAGCCAAAACCCUGAGGCCGCAAGAAGAGAAAUAUCCUGUGGGACCAUGGCUGUUGGCACUGUUUGUUUUUGUUGUCUGCGGCUCAGGUCGACCACAUAAGCACUGGCCUUUCCUGGAGACUGCCUGAACUAUCUUGAAAUUGUGACACCCAGAGGGAGUCACAGCCCCAAGACGCAAGUUUGAGGAACUCAGCAGCCCUGGAGCAACCUUUCCGUUCCACCACAAAGGAAAGCUUGAGGACAUGCGUCUGCUCUGGAACUCCUGCCUCAGGAUCUGAGAUGCACAGUCUGGAAAAGAUGUCCCAUCAGCCAUUGGCUCCCUCAAGCUAUCUUCCAGAUCAUUCAGAGCAUAAGGAUGGGCAUGUGAGCAGGCUGGGCUUUGACACGGCCCCCUGCCGCUGGAGGGUGGAGGACCGCUUCAGCUCUUAGCCGGGUAUCUGUGGGAAGCUGACAAGCCAUCCAGAAGAGAAAAAAAAGGCUCCCUCAACUGUUCCCUGAUCACUUCAUCGUGGAUGUCAGACCAAAUUUCUUUCUCACAGGACAUCUCGGUACAUCCGUGUUCUCAAGCGGAAAGGACAUUUUGCUUUGCAGUUGGCAGGAUUGGUAGCUCUCUGGGUGUCUGCAGCAGAGCUGUCUGUCUGCUUUUGCCCUGGGUUUCGCUGAUGUCUGCUUGCGGGCUUCUGAAUGAUCACCGCUUUACUUUCUAUAGAUACGAUCUCUGCUCCAUUGGGAAUUGCUUUUACAAAUAAAUGUCUUUGUUCAACCUU